rnacentral:rRNA from 1 species
GACGAGGCACUACGGUGCUGAAGCAACAAAUGCCCUGCUUCCAGGAAAAGCCUCUAAGCAUCAGGUAACAUCAAAUCGUACCCCAAACCGACACAGGUGGUCAGGUAGAGAAUACCAAGGCGCUUGAGAGAACUCGGGUGAAGGAACUAGGCAAAAUGGUGCCGUAACUUCGGGAGAAGGCACGCUGACACGUAGGUGAAGUGAUUUACUCAUGGAGCUGAAGUCAGUCGAAGAUACCAGCUGGCUGCAACUGUUUAUUAAAAACACAGCACUGUGCAAACACGAAAGUGGACGUAUACGGUGUGACGCCUGCCCGGUGCCGGAAGGUUAAUUGAUGGGGUCAGCGCAAGCGAAGCUCCUGAUCGAAGCCCCGGUAAACGGCGGCCGUAACUAUAACGGUCCUAAGGUAGCGAAAUUCCUUGUCGGGUAAGUUCCGACCUGCACGAAUGGCGUAAUGAUGGCCAGGCUGUCUCCACCCGAGACUCAGUGAAAUUGAACUCGCUGUGAAGAUGCAGUGUACCCGCGGCAAGACGGAAAGACCCCGUGAACCUUUACUAUAGCUUGACACUGAACAUUGAGCCUUGAUGUGUAGGAUAGGUGGGAGGCUUUGAAGCGUGGACGCCAGUCUGCGUGGAGCCAACCUUGAAAUACCACCCUUUAAUGUUUGAUGUUCUAACGUGGACCCGUAAUCCGGGUUGCGGACAGUGUCUGGUGGGUAGUUUGACUGGGGCGGUCUCCUCCUAAAGAGUAACGGAGGAGCACGAAGGUUGGCUAAUCCUGGUCGGACAUCAGGAGGUUAGUGCAAUGGCAUAAGCCAGCUUGACUGCGAGCGUGACGGCGCGAGCAGGUGCGAAAGCAGGUCAUAGUGAUCCGGUGGUUCUGAAUGGAAGGGCCAUCGCUCAACGGAUAAAAGGUACUCCGGGGAUAACAGGCUGAUACCGCCCAAGAGUUCAUAUCGACGGCGGUGUUUGGCACCUCGAUGUCGGCUCAUCACAUCCUGGGGCUGAAGUAGGUCCCAAGGGUAUGGCUGUUCGCCAUUUAAAGUGGUACGCGAGCUGGGUUUAGAACGUCGUGAGACAGUUCGGUCCCUAUCUGCCGUGGGCGCUGGAGAACUGAGGGGGGCUGCUCCUAGUACGAGAGGACCGGAGUGGACGCAUCACUGGUGUUCGGGUUGUCAUGCCAAUGGCACUGCCCGGUAGCUAAAUGCGGAAGAGAUAAGUGCUGAAAGCAUCUAAGCACGAAACUUGCCCCGAGAUGAGUUCUCCCUGAGACUUUAGGUCUCCUGAAGGAACGUUGAAGACGACGACGUUGAUAGGCCGGGUGUGUAAGCGCAGCGAUGCGUUGAGCUAACCGGUACUAAUGAACCGUGAGGCUUAACCUUACAACGCCGAAG